rnacentral:rRNA from 1 species
UACGAAGGGGGCUAGCGUUGCUCGGAAUCACUGGGCGUAAAGGGUGCGUAGGCGGGUCUUUAAGUCAGGGGUGAAAUCCUGGAGCUCAACUCCAGAACUGCCUUUGAUACUGAAGAUCUUGAGUUCGGGAGAGGUGAGUGGAACUGCGAGUGUAGAGGUGAAAUUCGUAGAUAUUCGCAAGAACACCAGUGGCGAAGGCGGCUCACUGGCCCGAUACUGACGCUGAGGAGCGAAAGCCAGGGGAGCGAACGGG